UGCGACAUUUGUGUUCAACGACAGUGUUAUCCACACAGUAGAGGGUCUAUGGACACCUGUCCACUCCACUGUGCCGUCUCUAACAGGUUAUGUCGGACAAGAAUCAUGCUGGUAACCUCAUCUCCUACGCCUGACCUCAACCUGUCUGGAAUCCUCCACCGCUUCCUCCCUCUGGCCUCAGUCUCCCUUCAGAAAAAAAGUCACUAUGCACAGGAGCGUGCUUGCUGUCGACAGAAACCAUCUAGAAUUGAGCAUUAAACACAGGACUCCGAAUAACAGGAUACCCGUCACUGCACAGAUUUUUCUUUUAAAGGGGGAAAUCUGAAGAGAUGAACUGCUCUGCCUACAGUCAUAAAACGGAUCACAGUGGGGAAAUAAAAAUAAGAGUUUUUUUAUACCUUGACAUUUCUUAGAAGGCUUAAGUAAAGCCACACUCACCAAGAAGAGCUUGGGUGGAGAAAGGA